GACGAACGCUGGCGGCGUGCCUAAUACAUGCAAGUCGAGCGCAGGAAAUCGACGGAACCCUUCGGGGGGAAGUCGACGGAAUGAGCGGCGGACGGGUGAGUAGCACGUAAAGAACCUGCCCUCAGGUCUGGGAUAACCACGAGAAAUCGGGGCUAAUACCGGAUGGGUCAUCGGACCGCAUGGUCCGAGGAUGAAAGGCGCUUCGGCGUCGCCUGGGGAUGGCUUUGCGGUGCAUUAGCUAGUUGGUGGGGUAAUGGCCCACCAAGGCGACGAUGCAUAGCCGACCUGAGAGGGUGAUCGGCCACCCUGGGACUGAGACACGGCCCAGACUCCUACGGGAGGCAGCAGUAGGGAAUCUUCCACAAUGGACGAGAGUCUGAUGGAGCAACGCCGCGUGAACGAUGAAGGCCUUCGGGUCGUAAAGUUCUGUUGUAAGGGAAGAACAAGUGCCGCAGGCAAUGGCGGCACCUUGACGGUACCUUGCGAGAAAGCCACGGCUAACUACGUGCCAGCCGCCGCAGUAA
rnacentral:rRNA from 1 species